rnacentral:rRNA from 1 species
UACGUAGGGUGCAAGCGUUAAUCGGAAUUACUGGGCGUAAAGCGUGCGCAGGCGGUUUUGUAAGUCUGACGUGAAAUCCCAGGGCUCAACCUGUGAAUUGCGUUGGAGACUGCAAGGCUAGAAUCUGGCAGAGGGGGGUAGAAUUCCACGUGUAGCAGUGAAAUGCGUAGAGAUGUGGAGGAACACCGAUGGCGAAGGCAGCCCCCUGGGACAAGAAUGACGCUCAUGCACGAAAGCGUGGGGAGCAAACAGG